rfam:Gossypium hirsutum cultivar TM-1 unplaced genomic scaffold scaffold743.1, whole genome shotgun sequence
CGCCCCCAAAAUAAAGAGCCUUGAAUACUAGAAGAAAAAUAACUACACCUAGCAAAAUUAAGUGAAUACCCAAAAUUGUGGUCAUUUUAUUUCUAUCUUUCAU